GCACGCGUGAAUGCGCACUAAGCGAUGAAAAGGACGUGCAACGACGUAUCUUUUGGAGUAACUGUAAGUAAGCAUAUUGAUCCAAAUUCCGAAUGAAGACAGCAUGGUAUCAUAUUAUCGAUAUGUGGAGGCUAUAAUGAUCGCCCGGAGGAAGACUAACUAUAGCGGAAGAAGAAAGAAAAUCGAUUCCCUGAUAACAACGGCGCAAGCUGGAAAACAAACAACUGAAGCUUUGCUGAUUGUAGGAGCUUUCUAUACGAGUUACAAAAGAAUUGGGCUGAAUCGUCCUGGAAAGAUAGUCAAAAGUAAUCUAGCAAGUCGAAAACAUAUUCUCUGCGAGUGGUCCCUGAGCCACUGACGAGUAUAUUCCGUCGGAGACCAUCUCUGGAAGCUAAAUACUUCUGGUGACCGAUAGUGAAGCCGGUACCGUAUGAAGGAAGAUUAGCCCUGGAAGAAGGUAACUGAAAACCGUCUUCCCUAGCUGAAUCGAAGCCCGACGAUGGCGACACACAGAACAAUUCGGCGCGGUGUCUGAUGCAGGUAAAUAUUGGAGACACAGCAGUAUGGGCGUUGUGUGGUCGUAGACGAAAUACAGUCGGGGCCAAUUCGGAAGCGGCCUGGAAGGACGACACCGUUGAAAAUGACGGAUGAGCUGAGGGCGGCAAUUCAAUCGGGCUGGAAGAUAGCUGGUCCGAAACAGCUUUGCAGGUAGCCUCAGUGAUGUUAUUGAAGUGAAACACCUGUUUGAACGAAACCUCUCAGGCGGAAAGUAAACUCGAGAUAUAGCAAUGAAGUCAGGCGGUGAUAGGUCCGUGUUCAGGGGAAGCCAGACCUGUAAUUACUAUGUUGGGUGGAAAGGAUGUGUACCCAGGUAAUGUUGGCUUAAACGGCUUAAAUCGUUAAAGGUAAAUAACUCUUUGAUCGUAUUCGCCGAAAAUAUUCGCCGGGAAUAAAUAUUAUAAUCCUUUAGACAAUGGUAGGAGAGCGUUCACAGAGCGUCGAAGCGCGUCUGGGACGUGUGAGCGUGCCGGUGGUAACGAAAGGCAGGUGGCGUCCGUCACCGAUGGGUUUCGGAAACGUCGCUGUAGUCGAAGGUCAGCUGGGCCGGCUGGCUGGCGUGGCUGGUGAUAUUCGCAACCACCUGAGUAUCGUUUUAAUCGUGGGGAAGGACCUGGCUAAGAUGACAGCAGCGAAUGCACGUCAGCAAUGGAAACUGGUGUUUAAAUCCGGCGCUCACUGAGCGAUGUGUUUCCUCAGUCAUUGUUCGCUCCUCUGGAAGCAACAACAGUGCCGCACAAACGUGCAGGCUGUCAGGUGAAUUUAAGAUGAGCAGCUUCGUUAAGACUCGGCUGCUCAACCCCGUAACUUCGGAGAAGAACCACAGGAGUUGCAUAGGCUGAGUCUCUCUUUAAACCAUAAUUGACUAAUGUGAGAGGCGACGCCUGCCAGUGGAAGAUUAGAGGAGAUGGUUGCUUCUGCGAAGCUACGUCAUUGUCAGGCGGCGACCCCUGGCAUUAACGAAGCGUCUACGACCCGCGCGAAAAACAGCGACCGGUACUAAUCACUCAACAGAAUAAGUAAAUCGCCGUACCGGUGAAAGAACAGGCGCCUACUGUAACCUGAUAUUGAAAUUCGGCACGGCAGUAAAGAUAGGAAGCGCUGAAGCAUUAUUUUCAACGUGGGGCAUUGGUGGGAUGCGCUGUGUUGGCAACCGCCACUAUCGUGGUGGAUCGGAAGCGGUAUAGUCCUGAGAAGAGACAACGAGCAUCAAGUUCCUCAGUGAUUCAAAUCGCCAUGGUCAAGUCGAGGAAGUCGGAACGAGCAGCGGAAGGCUCCAUCGGAUAAAGCUGCGAGGAUAACAGCUCCCCAGGCCGACGAGUUUGGCGUCAACUCAUGCAUCCUGGGUGUGGUCGGUAAGGUGGCUGUUCGCUAUUAAAGCGACGCACAGCUAAUUUCAGGCGUCGUGGUCGGCUCGUGGGCAUGCGUAGUCAUAAUACGAGGACAGCUCUGGUGGCGCCAGGCUGUCGUGCCAACAGCGCGCAACAGGUGGACGAGAUAAGUGUAAUAUCUGGCGAAACCCCUUCCAGGUGAGAUUUCCCAACCCUACGACUAUAAAUCCCUCGAAGAUGACGA
rnacentral:rRNA from 1 species